AUUGAACGCUGGCGGCAGGCUUAACACAUGCAAGUCGAGCGGGGUGAUGGUGCUCGCACUAUCACUUAGCGGCGGACGGGUGAGUAAUGCUUAGGAAUCUGCCUAUUAGUGGGGGACAACAUCCCGAAAGGGAUGCUAAUACCGCAUACGUCCUACGGGAGAAAGCAGGGGAUCACUUGUGACCUUGCGCUAAUAGAUGAGCCUAAGUCGGAUUAGCUAGUUGGUGGGGUAAAGGCCUACCAAGGCGACGAUCUGUAGCGGGUCUGAGAGGAUGAUCCGCCACACUGGGACUGAGACACGGCCCAGACUCCUACGGGAGGCAGCAGUGGGGAAUAUUGGACAAUGGGGGGAACCCUGAUCCAGCCAUGCCGCGUGUGUGAAGAAGGCCUUAUGGUUGUAAAGCACUUUAAGCGAGGAGGAGGCUCUUUUGGUUAAUACCCAAGAUGAGUGGACGUUACUCGCAGAAUAAGCACCGGCUAACUCUGUGCCAGCAGCCGCAGUAA
rnacentral:rRNA from 1 species